UCCCGAUUGGCUCGGGCAGUCUCGCAUGAAAAAUACAACAUACGACAAGGGUUGCGCUCGUUGCGGGACUUAACCCAACAUCUCACGACACGAGCUGACGACGGCCAUGCAGCACCUGUCACCGCGUUCCCGAAGGCACUCCUCUGUUUCCAGUGGAUUCGCGGGAUGUCAAGUCUGGGUAAGGUUCUACGCGUACCGUCAUAUUAAACCACAUCAUCCUCCGCUUGUGCGGGUCCCCGUCAAUUCCUUUGAGUUUUAGCCUUGCGGCCGUACUUCCCAGGCGGCAUACUUAACGCGUUAGCUUCGUCACGCAGGGGGUCGAUACCCCACACGACUAGUAUGCAUCGUUUACGGCGUGGACUAC
rnacentral:misc_RNA from 1 species